AUGUCCAGCAAAGAAGACAAAGUGAAAAGUGAGUCCAGUAUAAUACGUUUUGAAAGAAAAAGUACCACUACUGAGUCUGCCACAAGAGGAAAUGACAGAAGAAGUACUGAGUCUGCCACAAGAGGAAACAGAAGAAGUACUGAGUCUGCCACCAGAGGAAAUGACAGAAGAAGUACUGAUUCUGCCACAAGAGGAAACAGAAGAAGUACUGAGUCUGCCACAAGAGGAAACGACAGAAGAAGAACUGAUUCUGCCACAAGAGGAAACGACAGAAGAAGUACUGAUUCUGCCACAAGAGGAAACGACAGAAGAAGUACUGGGUCUGCCACAAGAGGAAAUGACAGAAGAAGUACUGAUGAGUCUGCCACAAGAGGGAAUGACAGAAGAAAUACUGAUUCUGCCACAAGAGGAAACGACAGAAGAAGUACUGGGUCUGCCACAAGAGGAAACAGAAGAAGUACUGAGUCUGCCACAAGAGGAAAUGACAGAAGAAGUACUGAGUCUGCCACAAGAGGAAAUGACAGAAGAAGUACUGGGUCUGCCACAAGAGGAAAUGACAGAAGAAGUACUGAGUCUGCCACAAGAGGAAAUGACAGAAGUACUGAGUCUGCCACAAGAGGAAAUGACAGGAGGAGUACUGAGUCUGCCACAAGAGAUGACAGAAGAUCACCAAGCACAGGGAAAGAAAAAAGGAACACGAAACGGAGCCACAGUAGAUCAUCUUCCUCAUCCAGCUCAUCAUCAUCAUCCUCCUCGUCAUCCUCCUCAUCCUCAUCCCACUCUUCAUCCCACAGUAGGAGAUGUUCCAGCAGUAGUGAUUCCCACAACAAAUCCAGAAGGAAUUCUAAGAAAAGGAAAAAGGAAAAACAACACAAGAAGGUAUUUUUCUUCAAAUAUUCUGUUUUCAGUAUUUAUUUUGAUAAAGGUGUGGUUUGUGACUUAUGUCGUUUUUUUUAUAGAAAGGGAAAAAGGAGAAGAAGCAUAAACAAAAGAAGGACAAGAAAAUGACACCAGAGGAGGAAAGCGCUGGACCUGGACCUAUUCAGAUCUCCAAGUAUUUAAAGGAGAGGAGGAGAAAAGGCAAGUACAGCAUGAUCACAGGAAAGAAGAUCAAAAUGAAAUUAAAGAAGUCCAAGAAAGACAAGCUG
rnacentral:lncRNA from 1 species